AGUGAACGCUGGCGGUAGGCCUAACACAUGCAGGUCGAACGGCAGCACAGUAAGAGCUUGCCCUUACGGGUUGCGAGUGGCGGACGGGUGAGGAAUACAUCGGAAUCUACUUUUUCGUGGGGGAUAACGUAGGGAAACUUACGCUAAUACCGCAUACGCCCUACGGGUGAAAGCAGGGGAUCUUCGGACCUUGCGCGAUUGAAUGAGCCGAUGUCGGAUUAGCUAGUUGGCGGGGUAAAGGCCCACCAAGGCGACGAUCCGUAGCUGGUCUGAGAGGAUGGUCAGCCACACUGGAACUGAGACACGGUCCAGACUCCUACGGGAGGCAGCAGUGGGGAAUAUUGGACAAUGGGCGCAAGCCUGAUCCAGCCAUACCGCGUGGGUGAAGAAGGCCUUCGGGUUGUAAAGCCCUUUUGUUGGGAAAGAAAAGCAGCAGGUUAAUACCCCGCUGUUCUGACGGUACCCAAAGAAGAAGCACCGGCUAACUUCGUG
rnacentral:rRNA from 1 species